rnacentral:rRNA from 1 species
UGGGGAAUAUUGCACAAUGGGCGGAAGCCUGAUGCAGCGACGCCGCGUGAGGGAUGACGGCCUUCGGGUUGUAAACCUCUUUCAGUAGGGACGAAGCGUAAGUGACGGUACCUGCAGAAGAAGCACCGGCUAACUACGUGCCAGCAGCCGCGGUAAUACGUAGGGGGCUAGCGUUGUCCGGAAUCACUGGGCGUAAAGGGUUCGCAGGCGGCAAUGCAAGUCAGAUGUAAAAGGCAAAGGCUCAACCUUUGUAAGCAUCUGAAACUGUAUAGCUUGAGAAGUGUAGAGGCAAGUGGAAUUUUUAGUGUAGCGGUGAAAUGCGUAGAUAUUAAAAAGAAUACCGGUGGCGAAGGCGACUUGCUGGGCACAAUCUGACGCUGAGGAACGAAAGCGUGGGGAGCAAACAGG